UGAGGAACAUGACCUUCGGCGGGGGAUAGCCGGCCCAACGGCCGGGUAAUACCGCGUGCGACCUUUUGGGGACAUCCCCGAUUGGUGAAAGCAGCAAUGCGCCGAAAGAGUGCCUCGCGGCCUAUCAGCUAGUUGGUGAGGUAACGGCUCACCAAGGCGACGACGGGUAGCUGGUCUGAGAGGAUGGCCAGCCACAUUGGGACUGAGACACCGGCCCAGACCUCCGUACGGGAGNAGCG
rnacentral:rRNA from 1 species